GAUGAACGCUGGCGGCGUGCCUAAUACAUGCAAGUCGAGCGAACAGACGAGGAGCUUGCUCCUCUGACGUUAGCGGCGGACGGGUGAGUAACACGUGGAUAACCUACCUAUAAGACUGGGAUAACUUCGGGAAACCGGAGCUAAUGCCGGAUAAUAUAUUGAACCGCAUGGUUCAAUAGUGAAAGACGGUUUUGCUGUCACUUAUAGAUGGAUCCGCGCCGAAUUAGCUAGUUGGUAAGGUAACGGCUUACCAAGGCAACGAUGCGUAGCCGACCAGUGAGGGUAAUCAGCCACACAGCAACUGAGACACGGUCAAGAUUUCUACGGGAGGCAGCAGAAGGGAAUCUUCCGCAAUGGGCGAAAGCUUGCCGGAGCAACGCCGCGUGAGUGAUGAAGGUCUUCGGAUCGUAAAACUCUGUUAUUAGGGAAGAACAAAUGUGUAAGUAACUAUGCACGUCUUGACGGUACCUAAUCAGAAAGCCACGGCUAACUACGUG
rnacentral:rRNA from 1 species